CAACCUGAGCUCAGUCGUGAUUACCCGCCGAACUUAAGCAUAUCAUUCAGCGGAGGAAAAGAAACUAACUAGGAUUCCCCAAGUAAUGGCGAAUGAAAGGGGAAGAGCCCAGCGCUGAAUCUCUCGGUCUUAGGCCGCUGAGAACUGUAGCGUAUAGGUGUGACUGUCCUGCUAUAUUGCAUUUCCGAAGUCUCUUUGAUAGGGGCCAACAUCCAGAGAGGGUGCGAGACCUGUACGGAAAGUAGUAUAGUUGGUAUGGUUACUCCUUGGAGUCGGGUUGCUUGAAAGUGCAGCCUAAAGUUGGUGAUAAACUUCAUCUAAGGCUAAAUAUCGACGCGAAAUCGAUAGCAAACAAGUACCGUGAGGGAAAGUUGCAAAGAACUUUGAAGAGAGAGUUCAAGAGAACGUGAAAUCGCUGAAGUGGAACCGGAGAGAGUUAACAUAACUUGGUAGCUAUAUCCUCUAAAGUCGCUUAACUGUGGCUCUGGGGGGUGGACGCUACCUGUUGUUGCACUGACUGCGUUGAUUGUGCUUUCCGAACAGUAUAGUGUUGCCCACUUUGUGGUGUCUUGCUUUCUGGGAGGUUUGUCAUAAUUAACGUAAAGCCAAUUCCCUUUGGAGUCAGUGUGAAAGUUAACCACCUUUCCGACCCGUCUUGAAACACGGACCGAGGAGUGUAACUCUAUACGCGAGUCAAGGGGUGGUGAAAACCCUAGGGGCGGAAUGAAAGUAAAGGCCGGUUAACCGGUUGACAUGGGAUCCGCUCUUCGGAGCGGCGCACCAUGGCCCUGUCUUGUCUGCUUGCAGAUGGGCAGCGGUAGAGCGUAUAGUUUGCGACCCGAAAGAUGGUGAACUAUGCUUGAGCAGGACGAAGCCAGAGGAAACUCUGGUGGAAGUCCGUAUCGGUUCUGACGUGCAAAUCGAUCGAUAGACUUGGGUAUAGGGGCGAAAGACUAAUCGAACCGUCUAGUAGCUGGUUCCCUCCGAAGUUUCCCCCAGGAUAGCUGGAGUAGUGGUGCGUGGUUAUAUCCGGUAAAGCGAAUGAUUAGAGGACUUGGGGGCGAAACGAUCUCAACCUAUUCUCAAACUUUCAAUGGGUAUGAUGUCUCGGUUUCUUUAUUGAACUGUUGACAUGAACGUGUGCUCCAAGUGGGCCAUUUUUGGUAAGCAGAACUGGCGCUGUGGGAUGAACCAAACGCUGGGUUAAGGUGCCUAACUUUUCUCUCAUGAGACCCCAUAAAAGGCGUUGGUUGAUAUAGACAGCAGGACGGUGGCCAUGGAAGUCGGUACCCGCUAAGGAGUGUGUAACAACUCACCUGCCGAAUCAACUAGCCCUGAAAAUGGAUGGCGCUUUGAGCGAAAGACCUAUACCCGGCCGUUACUGGCUUGUGCGAUGGCUAAUGCCUGGCCGUAACGAGUA
rfam:Heterorhabditis bacteriophora unplaced genomic scaffold Scaffold908, whole genome shotgun sequence.